rnacentral:rRNA from 1 species
GUGCCAGCCGCCGCGGUAAUACGGAGGGUGCAAGCGUUGUCCGGAAUAACUGGGCGUAAAGGGCGCGUAGGCGGCCUGGCAAGUCCGAUGUGAAAGCCCCCGGCUCAACCGGGGAAGUGCAUUGGAAACUGCUGGGAUUGAGUACGGGAGAGGGAAGCGGAAUUCCCAGUGUAGCGGUGAAAUGCGUAGAUAUUGGGAGGAACACCAGUCGCGAAGGCGGCUUCCUGGACCGUCACUGACGCUGAGGCGCGAAAGCGUGGGGAGCAAACAGGAUUAGAUACCCCAGUAGUCC